rnacentral:rRNA from 1 species
AUUGAACGCUGGCGGCAGGCCUAACACAUGCAAGUCGAGCGAGCGGCGGAAGGGUGAGCAAUGUAUGGGGAUCUGCCCAGUAGCGGGGGAUAACUACUCGAAAGAGUGGCUAAUACCGCAUACGAUUGGAGCGGCCGAGAUCGGAUUAGCUAGUUGGUGGGGUAAAGGCUCACCAAGGCAACGAUCCGUAGCUGGUUUGAGAGGACGACCAGCCACACUGGGACUGAGACACGGCCCAGACUCCUACGGGAGGCAGCAGUGGGGAAUUUUGGACAAUGGGGGAAACCCUGAUCCAGCCAUCCCGCGUGUAUGAGAAGGCCUUCGGGUUGUAAAGUACUUUUGGCAGAGAAGCGGUAUCUGCAGAAUAAGCACCGGCUAACUACGUGCCAGCAGCCGCGGUAAUUC